CGUGGCAUCUCGAGAUAAACACAAAUGAAUCAAAACUUUCAACAACGGAUCUCUUGGUUCUGGCAUCGAUGAAGAACGCAGCGAAAUGCGAUAAGUAAUGUGAAUUGCAGAAUUCAGUGAAUCAUCGAAUCUUUGAACGCACAUUGCGCCCGCCAGCAUUCUGGCGGGCAUGCCUGUUCGAGCGUCAUUUCAACCCUCAGGCCCGGCCUGGUGUUGGGGACCUGCCACGCGCAGCCCCCGAAAGAGAGCGGCGGUCCCGUUCCCGGCUCCGAGCGUAGUAGCAUACUGAGCUCUGGGCGCCGGGCGGGCAACCUGCCGGAAAACACCCCCUUUUUCUCAAGGUUGACCUCGGAUCAGGUAGGAAUACCCGCUGAACUUAAGCAUAUCAAUAAGCGGAGGAAAAGAAACCAACAGGGAUUGCCUCAGUAACGGCGAGUGAAGCGGCAACAGCUCAAAUUUGAAAUCUCCUUCGGGCGAGUUGUAAUUUGCAGAGGAUGCUUCGGGCGCGGCGCCUUCCAAGUCCCCUGGAACGGGGCGCCUUAGAGGGUGAGAGCCCCGUACGGUUGGACGCCAAGCCUGUGUGAAGCUCCUUCGACGAGUCGAGUAGUUUGGGAAUGCUGCUCAAAAUGGGAGGUAGACCCCUUCUAAAGCUAAAUACCGGCCAGAGACCGAUAGCGCACAAGUAGAGUGAUCGAAAGAUGAAAAGCACUUUGAAAAGAGGGUUAAAUAGCACGUGAAAUUGUUGAAAGGGAAGCGCU
rnacentral:rRNA from 1 species